GUUUUGAGUGAAACAUCACAAUUGUUUAACGACUAUAAAAUCGAUGGAAUAGACGAUUGUUUAAAUGACUUUGAUGACGAUGAUCUUCCUCAGAGUGAGACAUCGCAAAUGUUUCACGAUAAUCCUAUGCCUCUUCCUCUCUACUAUCAAGUAGGAUCUGGAUUUGAGAACCAGCCUGGACCUUCGACACGUGGCCCUGCCUUCCUGGAAAAUGUUUCGUCCGA